GGGAAGUGUAGUUUCUGCUGAAUGAUGGCAGCAUCACAGAAUAACAAAGAAUAUGAAAAGGGGACAAAGAAAACCUUUGCCCCACCUAUACAAAAAUCACAUAGUGUGAGCCCUCAGGCUGACUCAUGGAAGGAGGACACCCAGGGGACCAGUUCUCCAGAGGCAGAGGCCAAGCCAAGCCAGCCCAAAGCCAGCUCAAAGAAGAAGGAGCAGAAGACAACCACAGAACAUGGUCCAAGCGGAGUCCAGGAGAAAAAGCGAAAGGCUCAAGACAAGCUAGCUGAGAAGAAAGGAAAGG